rnacentral:rRNA from 1 species
UACAGAGGUCCCAAGCGUUGUUCGGAUUCACUGGGCGUAAAGCGCGCGCAGGCGGUCUUUCACGUCCGGGGUGAAAGCCCAGAGCUCAACUCUGGGAUUGCCUUGGAUACGGGGAGACUUGAGGAUCGGAGAGGCAAGGGGAAUUCCACGUGUAGCGGUGAAAUGCGUAGAGAUGUGGAGGAACACCUGUGGCGAAGGCGCCUUGCUGGCCGAUUUCUGACGCUGAGGCGCGAAAGCGUGGGGAGCGAACAGG